rnacentral:lncRNA from 1 species
CCUGAUUAGAAGCUGCAGUAUAUAUCUUCUCCUCAAACCGAAUAGCAAUUUUCUGAAGUUCAUUUAUGCCCUCGGGCACAGAGAUAGGCAGGUGCCUCUUCAAAGUUUCCAUUCUACAUAUAGAGAACAUUGAACUCUUACAAAGUGAAAAUUAUGAACAGAAUAAAUUUUGAGAACCAGGAGAAAGACAAAUGAAUGAGAACCACUAACUGAUCAACAGAAUUUUUUCCAAAAUUGCACAUGCUAUAGUGUGAACAAAUAGUGUAUGAAACUCUAAUAAAGCGAGUGGAAAAAAGAGUAAAAAUAUGAAACAAGACUUCUUAAGACUUUUUCUUUUAAAUCAAUGCCAGUACCAGUACAUACCUUCCGCUUUGUACUAGUCCAGUACAAAUCCAUACAAAAACAAAGAAAACAAAAACACCAAUUAGGGCCCACAAGUGUGAGCCCUCUUCUCGUAAGCCACAUGGAACCAAUGCUGUCAUUGUUGUUCACUGUCACCAGUCCCUAGUACGCUCCCCCCUCUUCUCCUCCUCUUCCUCCAUGACCACCCCUUCAUCCUUCCUCCUCCUUCCUCCAGCGCAUCCUCUUCUUCCUCCUCUACUGUUGCUUCCUCUUCCCCUUCUUCUUCGUCUUCGAAACACUGAUCGAUACCAAUGCACCAUGUGUCGGUAUCACAUGAUAAGCUAGUAUUCACCGGUACAUACCGGUCCGACCAACAACCCAUAUGGGUCCGGUACACGAUAUGGCAUUCCUUGGCCAACACUAACUAAAACUGGCAUGUGAUGGAAAACCGAGAGCAAAAGAAUUAUCGAUUAUAUCAACCAAGAAAAGGUAUAUGAUAGGGACUCCAGUGUAACUAGCAUAGUGACUAAUGACUAACAAAAAGCCAUGAGUAUACAUUAUAUGUCAGUAUAGCCAUGACUAUACAUUAUAUAUCAGUAUCUGAUCCACAAAAUGCAUGAUGGAUCACUUUUCAGUGUCAAAUAAAAGUUUUAAACAAUUAUGUUCUUUUUUUUACAAUAGACUUACUCGAUAUAUUUGAACUCACGAGUUCAGAUUACCUUCCCAAGCAUGUUCCAAUGAUGUUCCAACAAUGUAUAUUAUUUUGCUAAUUUAUUUUAUUUUAGUAAAAGCAGAAUCAGCCUAAGUUCCAAGUUAGAAGUUAGUAACUACAGAAAAAAAAAUUUCUGUAGUAUCAUGAAAUAUAGAGCUAAAGAUAUGGGAAAAGAAUGAUGAAGCCAUUAGUAACGUUAAACAUAGAGCUAAAGAUACAAAAAAUACAAAGAUAAGUUUACAGGAAACAAAUAUGUACAUUGUUUACACUUUGAAUUUAUUUACCAAAAAGGAAAGCUUGAAGAUGUCUCUUAUAUAGAAAGAGCGGGAUAGUCAAAUUGCAGACAUCUCUGGUAUAGUGCACCCAUCAAGUGCAAAUCUAAUUAACAGAUACAAACUUCAAAAUUUAGCCUCAAGAUAACUCAUGUUCACCGUACUGUUGGACAAUUAGGCAUAGUUUGUGUUAUUGUGGUAUUACUAGAUUCUCAUACGAUACAUCUGAUCCAUAUCCAAAUCAUCCUAGGCAAAUUCGAUUUUGAUUGAAUUCUUUGUUAUAUGGCUGCAUUAAGUAACUCUUUACCGCCCACACCAUUAUGGUACUGGUGGUAUUUACCAGUCCAACUGGUAGCCAAGCCUCAUACCACUCUUUACCAACAGAUUCAAGACCAGUUGAAGGGGUUAUCACCAUAACCCCCUUGUACAGGACUUACCACUAAAUACAGAUCCAUUACCAGGCGAUAAACCCACCCAGAUAUGAUGUGCCCCAACGAAACCCAUUGGGGGGGUCUCGUUGGGCACUUUAAAAUCACCCACCCACCCCAACCAGCCCACCCCCCAAAUGCCAAAUCUCUCAAAACUUCAUUGAAGAUCACUAAGGGAGGUUGAUUUGUAACAUAGGAAGAUUGAAAUCUCAAGAUCUGGUCUGAUUUCUUUCCAAAUUAAGAUAAAUCUGAACCUAAUCAGUAAGAUACUUUCAUGCAAUUAGGUUGGGGCUUAUGUUUAUUCUUCCUUUCUUAGCUUGGAUCUCUUCCAUUUAGAAAAGCAAUUACAACGUAGUUCAACUUUCAUACGAUCCUAGCACAUACAACCAAAGGUCCAUGAUACCGAAGCAUGUUGUCCUCCCAACCCAAGAGAGAUACGUGACACAUCUAGAUGAGGAUUUCAAAGAGCUUAGAGACUGGAAUAAAUUAUUCAAAAAACAAAGAGGCCUGACCUUUAUGGUGUCACAAUGAUGUCAGGGCCAGCAAAAAUGAGCAUCAUCAACUUCCUUGCUUAUUUCAACAAGAUAGUUUUUCUUAAGUCACUUGAUGCAUCUGACAAGAUCUAUUAAGCGAAUGAUAAAGCGGCAAAUUUCAAGGGGGCCAAUCAUCAACGUAGGUUGAUACGGAGACCGAAUUCUUCCUAUUUGCUAUCACACACCAUAAAUGCUACCUAAAACAGUAUGCUUCCAAAAAAUGAUAUUUUCUUUUCUUAAAGAUCUACGGAUGGAUAGUUAAUUGGCUGGACAAAAAACCUGAGUGGUACCUGUUUCUCAAAUUGGCUAUUUCUCCAUCUCCAGAGAUGAAUAGAUCCUUCACGAUGUAAAGUACUCGUUGAUUUGGAACCAUGCCUUAUGUUAUCUUUCAAUUCUCUCCCAAAAAUAUUUACCCAAUCCAUCCCCCUUCCCCAAUAAAAGCAUGAGCCUCUAUGGAAAUCUGUAUCGGCCACAUAGACAGUGAAAGAUGUAUAGGAAUCUUAACUGUAUCCCAUUUGAAAAUCCAAAGAUAUCAGAGAUCAAACUUUCUCCCCCCUCAACAGACUCAACGACCUCUGCUUACUACACGCAAUAAGAAAGAUCCCAUUUUGAACUUUCCCGCACAGCUCCCUCUUAGUUCCAAUCAUACAAUCCACCAACAGUUUACUAAUAUGAUAUCAUGUAAAAUUUCCUGGUCGGAUACAAAACCAAUUUUUUGAGUAUUCCUCAGUCACAGCCUAUGAUACAAGAAAUGAAAUCGAGACCAGAACCCUGAGAGAUCAACCCUUUGGACAUGUCAUAAGCACGCGUAUUUGCAUAGGUGGUACGAUGUGAUCGAUUAAUGAAUAUCAAAAUUUGAAACGAAGUUUAAGUGGAUAGAGAGGUGACUAAAAGAAAAUUUGACUCGUUUCUCAAGGAAACGACGAGUUCAUUAUCGAAAGAAAAAGACCGCCGUGCAAAUUACACGAACAAAAACCCUAACAAGAUAAUAACAACAACAAUAAUAUUUUUUUCUCAAGUGCUUUAGAUUUUUCACAUCCGAACCACAGAAGGACCUUAAUCUCACCCAAAAGGCUGCUAUAAAUUCAAAAAUAUCGACCAAAAUCGAGCGAUGAUAGACGCCUUCACAUCAGGAAAACCAAGAAAACUUUGAGGAAGAGGAAAUAGUCCACUUACAUCUUAUUUACAAUCCUGUGCCGCGCCUCCGGCUGGAGUUGGGUCCUCCAGUCGCCGGAUCCCCCAUCCGAGGCGGCGGCGCUCUCCCCCUGAGCCGGCCUCCAACUAUUCCCCUCCAUCGGAAGGAUCUAAAGCACGCACCCCUCAAAUUGAGAUCUCAGAGCCGGGGAAAUCAAAGGAGAUGGGAAUCCGCGGGGAAAUCGAUUCGGCAACAACGAAAAAGUGGGUUGCCGAGGACGAGCGAGAAACGUGCGAAGAGCCGAGAGAGAGAGGGGGGGCGUUGAAAGAAAGCUUUGGGGGAAGGGAGGAAUCGUGCGGUGGGGGAUUCCCUUCAAACAUCGAACACAGCAGCCGAGAAGAAAACUACUCCCUCCCACCAAUACCAGUAGUCCGAUGCUGACGAAUGAGCAAAUUAUUUAUGGGACAUGCACUCCAUGUUUCUUCACCCCAUCGACAAGUUCCAAUCGCCGCUAGAAUAAUGGCACACUUGUUUCAGAUAUAUACCCAGCGAAUCUGCGCUCAGCACCUUUUUGAGGCCGCCUGCUUCUUAAUUUGCCCCCUUCUAAAAGAAAACCUGGUCGCCACUUUGCAAUGGGUCGGUCCUCCAAAAUAAUACUCAACAAUCAAUCACCUAUAGGUUUGAGAAUUACCAAUGUAGUUUAAUGAUAGACAUAGGUGAUUUUUUAAAGAAUAAAUAAUAAAUAUAAUAUUCGAGUUAAGAUCCUAUGAUAAAUUGUCAUAAUUUUUACUAAUUAAAUUAGCUGACAUUUUUAGUUUCAGAUAUAAAAGAAUUUAUAUUAGUGAAUUUUUAAGAUCUCAUUUAUCGGGGUUGAGGUGUCAUUUUCUUAUGACGAUGGAUGAGUGUUACGGAGACAUAUAGAUGAUAUCUUUUAAAAAGAUAUAAUAAUUAAUAUAAAUGAGGUGAGAAGAUAUAGAGAAAAAAAUAUAUAUAUUUAAAAAAAUUAACUUAAAAAUAUUUUACAUAGAGUUAGAUAUUUAAAUAUUUAUAUAUAAGAAAUUUAAAUAUUAUUACAAAUAGAUAAUUUCCCUAAAAAGAUCUCCAUUUUAGCUUUAUGAAAAGAUAUCCCAAUUUUUUUUUUAUUUAAUAUUUUUUCAUCUAAUAUCCCAAUAUUUUUUCAUCGUGAGGCUUCAUCAUUUUUGUGUGAUUGAAUAUAAUAAGAAGAAAAAAUAAGAUAAGACGUAGAAGACUAUGUUGAGAGAGCAUGUCAAAACGAUCAUAUGGAGGCGAUCGAUCUUAGGCGAUCAUGUAGAGGCAGUGGGCAACAAUGAAGAGCAUUUAGGGCAUCAAAGGAAAAAAAAGAUAUUAAAUAAAAAAAUAAAAAAAUUGGGGGACACCUUUCGAAAAAAAAUCAAAAAGAUCGAUUUUUUCAGAAAUCAUACUAUUACAAUUAUCAUAAAUAUAAAAAUAAUAAUAAGUAUUCAAAAAAUAAUAAAUAAAAAACAUUUAUUAUAAGCAAUAAUAAGUUAAAUUUUCAUUCCUUUAUUGUCAUUAAUGUGAUAAUUUAUGUAUUUAUAAAAAAGUUAUCGAUGUUUGUUUCUUGAUCUAUGCUCUUUUUUUAUACUGAUUUUAUCUUGGAAACAAUUUAAUACAUCUUUCAACCGAUUGGAGUAAUUUUUUUGAAUUUUUUAAAUUAUAAAUCUUACUUUAUCCCCCAACAAAAAAAAAGAAUUGUAAAUGGUGCAGACACUAAGAGCAAAUCAUUGUAUAGAAAUCGAAAAGUAGUGUGAAAAAUCCUUUUUUUAUAAAUUAUCUAUGCUAUUCAAAAGGAAUAAAAAUGAUAAAAGAUAUGUAACAUGACGAACAUCAUACGUUGGAUAAAUUAAGAUCAAAAUUCAAAAUUCAAAAGAUAAAAAAUUCAAAUAUAAGAAAAUAAAAAUAAACUAAAGAUAAAUUAAGAUAAAAGGGAAUAAACGAACAUUAAAGUUUUAAAUGGAAGCAAAUAAAAAAGACUAAAAAAAUAAAAAGUCAAUCAUGACAAAUAAAAUAAAAUAAGAAAAAGAAUAUAGUAUUUUUUAAUCUAUGAUAAGAAAUAAUUAAGUUUGGUAAUCAGUAUAUAUUAUUUUUUACAUAUUAAAAUCUUAACUAAAAUAAAUCUAUAUAACAAUACAGGUCUUGAUUUAAGCUCUUUUAAAUGUAUACAAAUAUUUUUCAUCGACGUUCAAUAAACAAAAAUUAAUUUGAUCGAUGAAAGAAUCCGAUUGGACAUAUCCGAUAUAGUCUUUUAUUGAAACGAAAUAAGGGUUAUUAAAUACAAGAAUUUCAAUUUUAGGUACAGAGAGAUUCUCUAUCGAUUGCAUUCUCCAUCUACUUAAGAACCCUCUCCAAGCACUAUAAAACUGAAAGAACAAAUCAAGUCGAAUCGAUUACACGGCACUCAAUUGAUGAUCAAAAUUGAAUACACCAAAUCUUAAUUCCAAACUCUUGAAACAUCACAGUUUAAACAUCAUGGGAAAGGGCACUCCUGAACAUCACCUGCCAACAAAGAUUGUCAUGACUACCAUAUUCCCAAAGGAAAAGCUAAACUGAUGAUCAAUGGAUGGACAGUUCGAACCAUCCGAUAAACAAUUAAAGAAAUUAGUAAUGUCUGUUCGAUGACGAACAAUACGGAUCCAUUAGGUUGUUAUUUUCAACCACUCAGCACAAUAAAAUGGUGAUUGUUCAACAAUUAAAAAGGACAACAGUCAGUUAUUUUUAUUAUGAUACGAUCCAUAGAAGAGAAACUAAGCUUAGUAACUUCGCCUACGUGCCCCCAAGUUUUGGGUGGUUUCCUACUGAUUGCGGCUCGAGCACCAGAGAGCAGCACCGAAACAACACCAUCUUAUCCCACAAGCAAAUAUUCUUAUAAAUACAUGAAAAAAUACUGGCCAACAUGGUCAGCAUUUAUAAUUAGAGAGCAAAUUUUGAUGCAGAGCAAUAUCAGAAUCCUGUCAAAAAAAAUUCCGGAUAGAAAUUUCGGCAACUCUGUCACAAGAAGAUACACUGCAACUAAUCAUAAGAGGAAUACAGAAUGGACUAUUUGACAAGUCUGUCCACUUUUAGUUAUCACAAUAAUGUAGCAUAUCAGUCUAAUGCUGUACUUCACUACGUUUAUAUUCAAUUGCAAUUUCCAAACAAGUUUAAAAAGGUGUAAAUAAGUAAUUGAUUUACAAACAUUUAUCGAGUUUACACCAGAAACAUGAAGCGAUUACUCUUAUAUCCCGUUGCCAGUUGCUUCUUGAUCCAAGGCUCCACCUCAAGUUAAAAGCUUCGUAGCAGAUACUUCUCAGUGGCAAUCCUAGUGUCUUAGCAAUCUUACAAAUAUGUGAAAAACAAGUUAGUGCAGCACUUGAAAACUACAAGAUCAUGGAUGAUAAAUGGAAAUAAGUCAAAAUUAGAUUGGAAGGAAACAAAAAUCUCUAAUGGAUUGUGAAUCUUUGCUCUCAGUUGGUUAUGAUUAUGCCGAGAAAACAUUGGUUGCAUAUAACUUUUCAGGUGACAACCAGGUUUCUUUAAUUAUGUGGAGACAUGCUGAAAAUUCACAACAUUUGAAUACCAGGUCAAACGAAUUCAAAGAGAAAACACUCGGUUGCUGACGGGUCAUAUGUUGUUAAAAGUUAAAACAGUACUACCCAUAAAGGCCCAAAUGCAAAAAAUCCAAAUACUAAAACACCUAAUGCUAGAACAAAGAAACAAGUGCAUCUAGCUAAAUUAAAUGCAGAGGAAAGAUUGGCAGGAUUUUGUGCCAUGGCCAAAGUGUUGUUCUGAAUAUUCUGGGACAAAAUUUGUUGCCUUGCUGAAGGUUGAUUCACCAUAGAGACAGAUAAUGGUUGCCCUUGGUUGGCUUGUGAUUGUACACCAAGCAAUGCUAUCAAGGAAGCAUAUUUGGUCAGUCCCAAGAAGUUUGAACCCUCGAAAAAUGAAUUUCAUGUUUACAAGUUCCAAGCCUCCAACCACAGCUUUUACUUUAACAAACCUUGGAUUAAUAUGCUUUCUUCAACUUCUUAUAGGGAUGGCUCUGGGAAAAAAAUCUCAGUCACAUUAACAAACAUUUACUUGCAGCAACACAAAUGGUGCCCAACCACGACCUACUACAUGACACCAUGAUGCCCCGAUGCCAAUCAUAUGUGAGUCACAUGCCCAUGUGGCCAUGACACUUGAUGCAGGCCACAUCUAGUGAAUAUUCCCCACAGUAACAUAUGCUGGUUGGGCAAUGAGGUUUGUGGUUUCUAUUAGUUGUCCUCAUUCCUCAUGAAUAUUUAUAUAGACGGUGUAGCUUCAACUAGGUUGCAAGUCCUUGUUGAGCUAUCUCAUAUGUGCUUCUACACAUGUUGAGACAAGGAAUAAGGAUUGCCACUUUGUGGCAUGGGAGUCUCCUAUGUCUUUCUAGCAUUGCUAGAUUGCAUGUCAUGUCAGUCCACACCUUUCUAUCAGCUGGCACAGCCAAAAAGAUAGCUUAGCAAUAGUUCAACACCUUCAGCAUAGUUCGGCAUGGUGUGUGCCUACACCUUUCUUAUGUGGUAAAUUUUGAAGACAAAAUGUAAAAAUCAUUCCAAUACAUUUACCUUUUCUGGAAAAUAAGCAGAAACAAUCCCAUGUUUAAUGAAGGAUUUUCGUAUCUCUAAUGGUUUAUCAACACUGAAAUGUUCAAGUACCUAACCCUUAUAUGAACACCACUCAUCUUAUUAUUAUCAGGUGACUUAAGCCAGUAACCAAAAUGCUAAAUGAGCAUCAAUACUAUUGGGAAACCUUGGGGAGUAUUACAUGUGCAGUGGAAAGUGAAAACAAAAACUGAUUUCCCAAAGCAAUCUUAUCGAAUCGUGGUGCGAUGAUCGGAAGCGAAAAACUCGAAAGCGAUAAAACAACGUAAGGGGUGUGAGACGUUCUCACCUAGGUGAAACCAUAUAUCCCCUAAUAUGUAGAUCUCGGUCCGUGGAUGAAGGAGCUCUCGUAAACUCCUCUCUAGCGGUGAUCCACACAGCGGAUGCGGCAACGAUGCACCUUCUGGUGCAGCACGUUCUUUCCUCAUGUUCGCGCACCACCAUGCCGCAACAACCAAGGAGGGGUCGAUCCCUCUUGCUAUCCUCUCGCACCACACCAGAGAGGGACAGUCGACUGGAGGAAGAAGCAGGGAGGAGAUGAAAGAGGUCGCGACAAUAGGGGUCUAGCUUAUAAUCCCUUUAAGCCUCAACUCCUAUAUAUUGAGAACCCUAUUUACUUACCAUAAUGGAUCCUGCCUUAAUGGGUACUGAAUCUCCAUUCAAUUAUCUUGACUUAAUGGAUAUUGGAUCCCUAUCCAAUAACCACUCUAAACCCUAUUGGGUCUAACCAAAUGGAUACAAGAAAAUAGGGAAUUAUUAGAUAUCUCAUAUUCAAUCCUCUACUCGUGCGUUCUCCACCAUAUGUGUAUGAUCCUCUAGGCCCAAUAUUAAGCUGGCCGUGAGUUGCACUUGUCAAAACUCCAUUUGACUCAGUGAAUUAUUAUCUCAAUAAUAAUUCAUCGACCAUUAUCGUAUUAAGCCACUAUGCCAUAGUCCCCAGACGUUAUAGAGGGAUCUAAUCUAUUGGACCUGUCUACCCUCAGUUACCGUGUAUCUAUAGUCUCUCAUUUAUCUAACGUCCCUGAGAUCGUAUAUAGAGCAUUGUGCUAUCAGGGCCAUACGAAAUUUAUCCGAGUCUUACUAUAAUUAGAUUCUCCCGGAGAACUCGUCUUUGAAUCCGAAUCUCGCGCUUAUCGGAUUUAUCACGAUCCGAUCGACCCUGGUUAGGGAUUUGCAUAAGUAAGAGCACACAUGAUAUUCCUCUUAUGAUACCGAGAGUGGAUGAUCUUCUAUUGACACUCAAUUGUCUUCAUAAGAUUGACUACAAUUCCCAAUGACCGAAUGUGCUAGAUUUGGAACUUCUAGACCUAUAAGUCUGGUAUUAAAGAAUGAAGUACUCAAACAAGGCAUCCUUGGUGUCUCAAGUCUAAGAACCAGAUUCACAAUCGGAACUACGGAAUCACUAUUUGAUGAUAAAGUAUUAUUAAGCAACCAGCAUUCCGUAAGCGGAUCAUUCAAUAAACUUAUUCUCCAAUGAGCAUCUGUACAGUAUCCCCACACAAGCAGCUAUGAGAUCAGUUGCCUCCAUCAUAUGAACAGGUAUAUAGCACACUGAUCAAUCCGAUUAUCUUGAUGACCCUCUCAAGUAACCUACAACCGAGAAUAUUUAGGGUUUGUAUCUAAUGACGAAUUAGUCACAUUAUCAUAAUCUAAUCAUGAUCCAAUUCUAAUUGCACAGAUCGAAGGACAUCACAAUAUAUUCAUCAUAAAUAUAAAAUAAAAAAAAUAUUAUAAAAAUAAUAACAAAAAAGAUUAUGUAGCGUGUCACAUGUGUCAUCACUUACGUGAUUGACUUGCAGGGCACCUGUAACUAGCAAACACUAGGUAGGUGGUAUCUAUUAUAGUUUCAAACUCACAUACUGGAAUUGAAACAUGGUUUAAUUGAUCAAUGUGCACUAUGUCAAUAGGAUAUAGUCACAGUCCCACACCUAUACUAUUGCAACAAACAAUCUGUAGGUACCAAAUAUAUGUGUAAAUUCUUUCAUCCAAAAUAAAAUAUUUCUUAAAUAAACCUUUCAAAAAUAUAUUUUGAAAAUAGCUCUUUUUAUAAUAUUCAUAAAAGAAACAUCAUUUUUUAUGACUUAGGGAAGCCUAAAAUUAAUGUUGUAAAUAGCAUAUUUUGUUUUGUGAGAAAUGAUAUUGUGACAAGUAGUUUUACUAAAAUCACUUUGCAAUAGCAAUUUCACACGUUAGAUUGGAACUAUUAUCAGAGUUAUCAUUUCUUUUGCACAAAAAAUGGCAUUAUGAUUAGAGCUAUGACACAUGUAAGACUGCUUUGACAUCCUCUAAGAAAUAUUUUUUAAAAUGGUGUUAUCAAGGGAAAAGCUUCCCAGAGUAAUUCCAAAUUCACAAGUUCAAUGAACCUAUAUCUCCCAUUUGAAGCUUAAAUUCUUGAACCUUGUUUCGUAAUACAAAAUAACAAAAAGAUUUCACAGACUUUGUACAUGAUUGUAAUUCAUUAUGCACAUCAAUAUUUACUCAUAAAUAAAAAUACAUUGAUUUUAUGGAGAACAUAAACAUUAACAAAUUUUGACCGAGCAGACUUAUUUUCAAGUAAGGGUUGUAGUUGCAUGAAGCCUCAUCUAGUUUAAAUGCCAAACCUCACCAUUAAGUAAUAUUGAGAUGCACAUCCAAAACUUAACUACCACCAACAAGUUUUCAAUUGAAUGAUUAUAACUGCGUGUAGGGACUGCAGAAUAUAUAACGUGAAAGAAGCAUAUCCCCCACAGACAUUGUCAACUAAUUAUAAUCAUUUAAAUGAACAUUUUAAUUAUGGAAUGGAAAAGUCAUUUGGGUAAGCACGAUAAUGUCUUAGCUGAUUAGCUAGCAUUUCCAAUCUAAAAGAUGUAACAAAAUAAUUUUGCCUUGUAAUAUUUCUGAGAGGAAUCGUAUCAUUCUUUUUACUAUUGCUUAUCACCGUAAGCCAUCAAUCAAAUUUAAGUGUACAAGUUAUUUGAUCCAGCUAGAAUCUAAUACGUCUUCCCUGUGUCAUACUUCACAAUUAUCCGCAAAUCACCAAUUUACCACAUUCCUAGAGUAUCUACUACUCAAAAACAAUAGUCUGUGGCAAGGUUCGUCGUACCACAACGUACCGUGUGUUGGUAUGGGCGGUAUAUACCGGUUCGACAAGGGACCGAUAUGAGUGGGACAUUCGUAUGGUCACAUGUACCGUAUGUUGGUAUGCUCAAUAUAGCUUGAUACAACUCAGUACAUAUCAUAUUGACAGUUUGUUGGUACACCAGUAUGGACUAGUAAAACGAACCUUGGUUAGUAGUAAGAGGACAAGAUAAUUAAAAAUAUAUGGUUUUAUUUCUUAGUAUACUGCAUCUUCAAAUCCAAUAUGCACAAAACAUUAAAUUUUUAGCAUAUGACUCUUUCAACUCUCCUGUAAGUCCUUUUGGCCUCAGAAUCAAUAUAAAUUGAUUUAUUUGCCAACACUUAAAGUCCCCUCUCUACAUAGUAAAUAAAUCAGUUUAGGGUGACAGCGUGUGCCAAAUGACUUCGACCAAUUUCUUUUCUGCACAGACUUUUAAGAUCCAGUGAAACAUUUGGUGGAUCACGGGAUUGUUCUUUAUCUAAAAGGCUUCAAAUGUUUAAAACUAACAAAUAAAAAAUAAUAAGGUCCACCUCUCCAGAAAGGCCGUCAUUCGAGAGGAGGCAGCUUCUCAGCCAGUCCAACUUGCCUAGCAAGUUAUAUUAAUAUACAACCAGCUUCAGAUUAUUAUAUACCUCCUCAGUUAUAUUAAUGUAUAAGCAAGGACAAAAAGUAAAUACUCGACCACAACAGCAAUUUAGAACAAUGUAAAAGAAGAUCAAUUUAAACAACUCAAGUUCUAGGUUUUAUAAAGUAUAAUCCAGUCAAAACCAUGACAAACUUAUCAAAUAAUAGCAUAGCUCUUGUCAAAGUAUGAACACUGAAGAACUUACAAAGAGAUGAAAAUCAAGAUACAUGAAAGAUCAAAUACCUAGAUGACAACAAGAUAAAAGAUGGGCACAGGAUGGUGUAUAAAAUCUUCAAUAACGUCAAAGUCUGGCAAAUGUCAUUUAAACACUCGAGAACCACAGAGUACACAGGACAAAAUAAAAAAGAAUCUAUAGAUUCAUUUUAUAUGAAAUAGAAUGAAUAUAAGUAGUAAUAUUAUAAUAUACACAAUACACAAAAGGAAUGAAGUAAACAAAAUUGACUGUGAUAUUUUGAAUAAAAUAUAUCUUAUCCAUAAUUCAGAAUGUCUAAUUUGUACAGAAAAGAAAGCAUUUCAUGGUACCUACCUGGGUCUGCAGAAUUUUGGUUGAGAACUGCGCUGUUGGAUAUUAAAGGGUUAAUUGAAGCAGAAUGCUGAGACUUAUUCUCCAUUGAAAGCAUUUUUAGAGAAAUUUUCCUCAAAUAAUCAAACUGAAAAAUUAGAAAGAAAAAAAUAUUUCAUACAGUGCUUACAGUUCAUACCAAUAAGCAAGAAUAAACAAAUAUAUUUUUUUCGAUUGGAUUCUGAAAGACAUAUAUGGUACAGAUCCAAAUUAGUCAUGCAAAAUGCUCAAGAGUAAUCUCAUCCACAGCCUAUUAACAUGUACUGUUUAUUUAUCAAGCUUAUAGCCAGUAAGCAUCAGGUUUUCUUAAGGAUGAAAUUAUAACAAACAACAAAUUCUGGUACUCGAAUGCAACAAAAGAGCUACUAUGGUGCAGCAAGAGAGUACUACAAAAGGCUAUCUUUUGUGCUUCUUCAUUUUCCAGCAUGUAAGAAGACUAUUCAUAAAAAUAUUAUCAAUAGACGAAAAAGGCAAAUACUAUCAAAACAUUGUCAUCAAACCAAAAUGUAAAUACCACCAAAACAAGCAACGACCACAAGGUUUCAAAACCCAGUCUGGUACUGUUUUUAGCAAAUGGUCAGACUAGCAUAGUACUAAUACACUGGGCAAUAUGCUUAACUGUACAAUCCGGUAGCAUAAAAAAAUUUAAAAAAUUUAAAUGCCAACUAGUAUUGCACCUUAGUUAGACCGAUAAACACCAGUCUAUAUGUACUGGUCCAACCAGCAUUUCAAACAUUGGUUGAGAACGCACCUAACAAUGGCAAAGCAAAGACGAAGAUUAAAGACGAAUUGGUUAAUUUACCCGAUCAGAAGCUGCAGUAUAUAUCUUCUCCUCAAACCGAGUAGCAAUUUUCUGAUGUUCAAUUAAGCCCUCGGGCACAGAGAUAGGCAGAUGCCUCUUCAAAGUUUCCAUUCUACAUAUAGAGAACAUUGUGCUCUUACAAAAUGAAAAUUAUGAACAGAAUAAAUUUUGAGAACCAGGAGAAAUACAAAUGAAUGACAACCACUAACUGAUCUACAGAAUUUUUUCCAAAAUUGCACAUGCUAGAGUGUGAACAAAUAGUGUAUGAAACUCUGAUAAAGUGAGUGGAAAAAAGAGUAAAAAUAUGAAUCAAGACUUCUUACGACUUUUUCUUUUAAAUCAAUGCCAGUACCAGUACAUACCUUCCGCUUUGUACUAGUCCAGUACAAAUCCAUACAAAAACAAAGAAAACAAAAACACCAAUUAGGCCUCACAAG